GGGGAAUAUUGCGCAAUGGGGGAAACCCUGACGCAGCAACGCCGCGUGGAGGAAGAAGGUCUUCGGAUUGUAAACUCCUGUCUUCCGGGACGAUAAUGACGGUACCGGAGGAGGAAGCCACGGCUAACUACGUGCCAGCAGCCGCGGUAAUACGUAGGUGGCGAGCGUUGUCCGGAAUUACUGGGCGUAAAGGGCGCGUAGGCGGCUCUUUAAGUUAGAUGUGAAAACCCAGGGCUUAACUCUGGGAGUGCAUUUAAAACUGAAGGGCUCGAGUGCAGGAGAGGUAAGUGGAAUUCCUAGUGUAGCGGUGAAAUGCGUAGAUAUUAGGAGGAACACCAGUGGCGAAGGCGACUUACUGGACUGUAACUGACGCUGAGGCGCGAAAGCGUGGGGAGCAAAC
rnacentral:rRNA from 1 species